rnacentral:rRNA from 1 species
GUGGGGAAUCUUCCGCAAUGGACGAAAGUCUGACGGAGCGACGCCGCGUGAGUGAUGAAGGUCUUCGGGUCGUAAAGCUCUGUCAUCGGGGACGAACGGCCUCAGCAGGUAAUGGCUGGGGAUUGACGGUACCCGAGAAGGAAGCCACGGCUAACUACGUGCCAGCAGCCGCGGUAAUACGUAGGUGGCAAGCGUUGUCCGGAAUUAUUGGGCGUAAAGCGCGCGCAGGUGGGAUCUUAAGUCCAUUUUGAAAGUUCGGAGCUCAACUCCGUGAUGGGAUGGAAACUGGGAUUCUUGAGUACCGGAGAGGAAAGCGGAAUUCCCCGUGUAGCGGUGAAAUGCGUAGAUAUGGGGAGGAACACCAGUGGCGAAGGCGGCUUUCUGGACGGUGUCUGACACUGAGGCGCGAAAGCCAGGGGAGCGAACGGGAUUAGAUACCCGAGUAGUCC